rnacentral:lncRNA from 1 species
ACCCCCCUAAGCUCCUCUCCCUCAGCGAGUAAAUUGUGGACAUAACCACAACGCGUACAGCUCCCAGAAAAACCAGCAGCUUUCAACGACGAAAUGGAGGCGAAUUCACGGCGUCUUCACGGUCUCAAAGUUCCGUCAAUACACACGGAAAAGUAGCAACAGAGGUGCAGCGCUGCAAAAUUUUGUUUUCUUCCCCAACGUACCUAUCCGCAUUAAUAUC